UCAAACAUUUAAAACCAAAAGUUUAGAGAUCUAGUACUUAUUUGAUGGCUGAGAAAAGGCCACCAGCAUCUUUCCUCAGGGCUCAAAGAAUAAUUGCCCUUAUCUGAUCCAUAAAGACAAGUAGAAAAGCAGAUUCAAAAUGUCAUGUCACAUUAUUGGCAAUUGAAAUUUAAUUAUAAAAAGCCCACUUAUUAUUGCACUAAUGCCCUAUAAAAAGAGCGAUCAAAACAUUUCCAUAGCACCAAGCAAAGCAAGAGAAAGAGUUGGUCAUCAAGGACAACCAAUUCACUAUUCUCUUGCCUUCAGUUGAAAUGGCCUCACUCCAAUGUAACAGGCCCACACAUGAGACCUACCAGCAGAAAUGCCAUGGCAGUUCCUCUUUGGGCCAGAAAAUGUCCGGGAUGGCUAGCUGGGUCAAGGGAGGCAAUAGCACCACACAGCAGCUACCCUGCAAGCCUCUGCCCACCUACCAAACCCACCAUGUAGCAACAUCCAAAACCCAGACUCAGUACUACAGUAGCCAGGCCCAGGCCCACCAUGGGCAGGGCUUAGUCAAACCACACAAGGCCCAGUGUGCCAACAUGACCAGCGGUGGCCACAACACCCACGCUUAUGGCCAUAGCAACCACAGUCACACCAAGCACCAUGCCACUAGUGGAGUGGCAUGUCAGUGUGUGAACAAAAGUAACUGACUCCACAGUAAGAGUGUGAGCCACAGCCAUAGCCAGGGCCACAGCCACAGUCACAGCUGCAGCCACGCAACUAGUGGCCGGGCAUGCGGUAGCCAAACAGCCGCCACGUUACAGCAGAAGAAGGAGCCAAACUUGUUUAGGAGGAUCAAGAACCGCAUAUCCGGAAAUAGUAGCUGCAGUGACAGCAGUGACAGCAGCGACAGCGACAGCGACAAUGAGUGUUGCCGCCAAAGGAAGAAGUAAAUGAAUGAUUCGUGGGAGCUGAAAAAGAUCACAAUAUAUAUAUAUAUAUAUAUGACGGAUCAGUACGAAGAAGAAGAAUCAUUAUCUCACGUAUGAGAUAUUAUUAAUAAGUGAAUAAUAAUAAAUAUGUAAUCGCGUGAUUAAAAGUCAAAAAAAGGUAAUAUUAAUUAUUAAAUAAGAAAGCCAGUCGUUCUUAUCAUGACUUGGCUAACAAAUUGUAAUCAAUGCAAUUUUUAUCGUUUUUCA